UAUGGAGGAUGCACACUUGUUGCAGGUGAAAUUUUUUGUUUGGCACGUUCCUUUCCACUUAGCUGGUGGAGGGCCAUACCCUGUGUCGUUGAAGCUAGGAUGCUCCGGCCAGGCUCCUACAGAGAUAAAGCAAAUGUCCAAGUUCGCCUUUGCUGAAUCCCAUGAAGUCCCAUGAUCGCGUCGUGUGAAGGUUUAGCUUGCGAUUUUGGAAUACAGAGACCACUCCCUCCAUCUCUGGCACCAGAUAUACACAUCUUCUUCCUCACUAAGCUUGGCUGCAAAUCCAUUGAAACUUCUUCCAUAACUGUGGACAAGUGAAUCCUUUGCUGAUGAAGCACUGCAAAGAAAUCACAAGAACCAAAAGAUUGUUAAUCAUUCAUAUCUAUAUAUAUGUAAUGCUCCAAAGGUAAAUGCUACUCAAGAAGAAUUAAUGAGACCUUCCUAGUACACUCUGCAGUAUGGUAUGAUGCGUGGAUGCAACGGAUGCAUCGUCUUGAGGCCGAUCCCCCAUGUACACGACGUG